GGGAGCGAAGCUUGCUUUGCUUGCCGGCGACCGGCGCACGGGUGCGUAACACGUAUCCAAUCUACCCAUGGCUCGGGAAUAGCCUUUCGAAGAAAGAUUAAUGCCCGAUGGUCUCGCAUGAAGACAUCUUUUUGUCGAGUAAAGACUUGUCGGCGAUGGAUGAGGAUGCGUCCGAUUAGGUAGUAGGCGGGGUAACGGCCCACCUAGCCGACGAUCGGUAGGGGUUCUGAGAGGAAGGUCCCCACAUUGGAACUGAGACACGGUCCAAACUCCUACGGGAGGCAGCAGUGAGGAAUAUUGGUCAAUGGGCGAGAGCCUGAACCAGCCAAGUAGCGUGAGGGAAGACUGCCCUACGGGUUGUAAACCUCUUUUGUUUGGGAAUAAAGUGCCGCACGCGCUGCGGUUUUGUAUGUACCUUACGAAUAAGCAUCGGCUAAUUCCGUGCC
rnacentral:rRNA from 1 species